rnacentral:rRNA from 2 species
CAGAUGCUAAUACCGCAUAACAACUUGGACCGCAUGGUCCGAGCUUGAAAGAUGGCUUCGGCUAUCACUUUUGGAUGGUCCCGCGGCGUAUUAGCUAGAUGGUGGGGUAACGGCUCACCAUGGCAAUGAUACGUAGCCGACCUGAGAGGGUAAUCGGCCACAUUGGGACUGAGACACGGCCCAAACUCCUACGGGAGGCAGCAGUAGGGAAUCUUCCACAAUGGACGAAAGUCUGAUGGAGCAACGCCGCGUGAGUGAAGAAGGGUUUCGGCUCGUAAAACUCUGUUGUUAAAGAAGAACAUAUCUGAGAGUAACUGUUCAGGUAUUGACGGUAUUUAACCAGAAAGCCACGGCUAACUACGUGCCAGCAGCCGCGGUAAUACGUAGGUGGCAAGCGUUGUCCGGAUUUAUUGGGCGUAAAGCGAGCGCAGGCGGUUUUUUAAGUCUGAUGUGAAAGCCUUCGGCUCAACCGAAGAAGUGCAUCGGAAACUGGGAAACUUGAGUGCAGAAGAGGACAGUGGAACUCCAUGUGUAGCGGUGAAAUGCGUAGAUAUAUGGAAGAACACCAGUGGCGAAGGCGGCUGUCUGGUCUGUAACUGACGCUGAGGCUCGAAAGUAUGGGUAGCAAACAGGAUUAGAUACCCUGGUAGUCCAUACCGUAAACGAUGAAUGCUAAGUGUUGGAGGGUUUCCGCCCUUCAGUGCUGCAGCUAACGCAUUAAGCAUUCCGCCUGGGGAGUACGGCCGCAAGGCUGAAACUCAAAGGAAUUGACGGGGGCCCGCACAAGCGGUGGAGCAUGUGGUUUAAUUCGAAGCUACGCGAAGAACCUUACCAGGUCUUGACAUACUAUGCAAAUCUAAGAGAUUAGACGUUCCCUUCGGGGACAUGGAUACAGGUGGUGCAUGGUUGUCGUCAGCUCGUGUCGUGAGAUGUUGGGUUAAGUCCCGCAACGAGCGCAACCCUUAUUAUCAGUUGCCAGCAUUAAGUUGGGCACUCUGGUGAGACUGCCGGUGACAAACCGGAGGAAGGUGGGGAUGACGUCAAAUCAUCAUGCCCCUUAUGACCUGGGCUACACACGUGCUACAAUGGAUGGUACAACGAGUUGCGAACUCGCGAGAGUAAGCUAAUCUCUUAAAGCCAUUCUCAGUUCGGAUUGUAGGCUGCAACUCGCCUACAUGAAGUCGGAAUCGCUAGUAAUCGCGGAUCAGCAUGCCGCGGUGAAUACGUUCCCGGGCCUUGUACACACCGCCCGUCACACCAUGAGAG